rnacentral:rRNA from 1 species
UGCUUAACACAUGCAAGUCGAACGGAAAGGCCCUGCUUUUGUGGGGUGCUCGAGUGGCGAACGGGUGAGUAACACGUGAGUAACCUGCCCUUGACUUUGGGAUAACUUCAGGAAACUGGGGCUAAUACCGGAUAGGAGCUCCUGCUGCAUGGUGGGGGUUGGAAAGUUUCGGCGGUUGGGGAUGGACUCGCGGCUUAUCAGCUUGUUGGUGGGGUAGUGGCUUACCAAGGCUUUGACGGGUAGCCGGCCUGAGAGGGUGACCGGCCACAUUGGGACUGAGAUACGGCCCAGACUCCUACGGGAGGCAGCAGUGGGGAAUAUUGCACAAUGGGCGGAAGCCUGAUGCAGCAACGCCGCGUGCGGGAUGACGGCCUUCGGGUUGUAAACCGCUUUCGCCUGUGACGAAGCGUGAGUGACGGUAAUGGGUAAAGAAGCACCGGCUAACUACGUGCCAGCAGCCGCGGUGAUACGUAGGGUGCGAGCGUUGUCCGGAUUUAUUGGGCGUAAAGGGCUCGUAGGUGGUUGAUCGCGUCGGAAGUGUAAUCUUGGGGCUUAACCCUGAGCGUGCUUUCGAUACGGGUUGACUUGAGGAAGGUAGGGGAGAAUGGAAUUCCUGGUGGAGCGGUGGAAUGCGCACAUAUCAGGAGGAACACCAGUGGCGAAGGCGGUUCUCUGGGCCUUUCCUGACGCUGAGGAGCGAAAGCGUGGGGAGCGAACAGGCUUAGAUACCCUGGUAGUCCACGCUGUAAACGGUGGGUACUAGGUGUGGGGUCCAUUCCACGGGUUCCGUGCCGUAGCUAACGCUUUAAGUACCCCGCCUGGGGAGUACGGCCGCAAGGCUAAAACUCAAAGGAAUUGACGGGGCCCCGCACAAGCGGCGGAGCAUGCGGAUUAAUUCGAUGCAACGCGUAGAACCUUACCUGGGUUUGACAUGGAUCGGGAGUGCUCAGAGAUGGGUGUGCCUCUUUUGGGGUCGGUUCACAGGUGGUGCAUGGCUGUCGUCAGCUCGUGUCGUGAGAUGUUGGGUUAAGUCCCGCAACGAGCGCAACCCUUGUUCACUGUUGCCAGCACGUUAUGGUGGGGACUCAGUGGAGACCGCCGGGGUCAACUCGGAGGAAGGUGGGGAUGACGUCAAGUCAUCAUGCCCCUUAUGUCCAGGGCUUCACGCAUGCUACAAUGGCUGGUACAGAGAGUGGCGAGCCUGUGAGGGUGAGCGAAUCUCGGAAAGCCGGUCUCAGUUCGGAUUGGGGUCUGCAACUCGACCUCAUGAAGUCGGAGUCGCUAGUAAUCGCAGAUCAGCAACGCUGCGGUGAAUACGUUCCCGGGGCUUGUACACACCGCCCGUCAAGUCAUGAAAGUUGGUAACACCCGAAGCUGGUGGCCUAACCGUUGUGGGGGAGCCGUCGAAGGUGGGACUGGUGAUUAGG